AGGUGGGCUGCAGCUCUUCCAUCUAAGUGACUCUUCAGUGACCUCAGGUAACUGGUACCUUUGAGCAGGACCAGGACAUGAAUUGCAAAAAGACCAACUAAAAGUUCAGAUGAAACAGGAUAUGAGUGGGAAUGUUUCCAUCUCUUAGCAGCUGUGAGGAGCUAUGUUGUGGCUGAAUUCAUGUAUGGAGGUUAAUUUGAUCCACAUGUUCUGCUCUCUCUGCAGGAGCAGAUACCCACUUGGAAUGUAAAACCUGGCAUGAUCUUGAGGCAGCUGUCCUGUUUGACCAGCAUCAUUUGUCGAAGACGAUUUUUCCAGUAUGUAUUUCUUGUUUCUGGAUCAAAAAUUCUCAGCAAAAAACCUGGCACAUUCAGGAUUGAA
rnacentral:lncRNA from 1 species